GCGGCAACGACGGCGGUAUUGAUUCCACUGGCAGUGCGCGCGGACACCGCCACUGUCGCCUGAAACGCGCGCCUGUGUCAGCCGCCGGCGUCGGCGUCUGUGGCGGCGGCGGUGGCUUCCCACGCGUCAGCCGACCGUGCGCGCUUUACACACCCCGAUAUCGCUACCCCUCCGCACAAGCAACAAUAACACACGGUCACCACCCCUUCAACGUCCCACACCCACUCGCCGGGGACGCGUAUCCAUUAUUACUUUAACACGCUGCCGGUAACGGCGGCAGCGGCGCAAACGCACACCGAAAAGACUGCGGACGACUACUCUGCCGCGGGCACGACAGCGAUUCCCGAACCGUACAUGCCCCUCGCUCUCAUUUCCUUUGCUCUCCACCGCUCCACCCUUCGUACUCGACGGUAUGUCUGCGCGUGUGCGCGUGUUUUCACUUGCGCGCGCACCUUACGAGACCGGCGAUCAGCACGUGCGCCGCGCGGAAGCUCAAUACACUGCCAACACUCGAAGACGUGGCGCAACGCAUCGCAUACUCAAAUGCCUACUCUUGACUCUCGAGAUGCACUACUGUACGUCAUCGUUCUGACUGAGGUUGUUUUUCUCUCAUUCAAGUGAUACUAAACAUAUUAUUCGCUGUAGAUCACCGUCAUUCGGUUGUUAGACACGAAAAUCAUAUUGAAUUAUAAUUGUUUCCGAUCCACGAUGAAGGAUCAAUAAAACUACAACGUUAAUUAUGUUUAGCUCUACAAACAGCAAAUUGAAAAUUAUGGAAAAAAUUCAGAAAUUAUAUCGACCCUAUCAAGUAGGAAUAAUAAUACGGAAACCAUCAAAUCUAAUGGGUCAAAAGUAAUCGGAAAACUAGUAAGAGUCAAGUUUUUAAAAUCAUGCACUACGCCAAUUAUAACGCCUUUGGUUUUAGGUCAUCAUAACUCAUAAAAUUGGCAUUUUUCGGAUGUGGAUAAUCAAUGGCGUACUG